GGCCAGUUAGCUCAAUCGACUAGAGCAUGGUGCUGAUAACACCAAGAUCGCAGGUUCAAUCCCUGUUCGGUCCC
rnacentral:tRNA from 1 species